AUAACUUAGGGUCAUAACAAGUAUAACUCCAGAUGCUUAAACACCUCAGUUGUCAGCAAUGUGUGUAUUUUCAUAUGUGUUUUUAAAAGCUCAGUUAUUGACUUCUUUCUACAGGUGUACAUGUGCAAAUUGCGCUGCAAUGCCAUCUGAACCAGAGAAUGUGUGCUGCAUGGAGAUACUGUACCACAGGUGUCAAGACGGAUGCAGGAACUUGAGCUCUCUGUGCCUUGUAUCGUGGACCAUCCUGGUUUGGAGCCUGUGUGCCUAAAUGUGUUCUCCCUGCAGAAUGCUUUCAAUAUAUACAGAGCUGAACAUGGGAGACUACAGAUGAGGCAAAUACAGCAGCGUCACAGGUAUCUAGCCUACAGAAGCUUUGUGAGCUGGUGCUGGGGCUUCCUUGGACGCAAGAUCAGAGUAGUCAUUCCGGCCUGCGUUGUCCU